UUCGGGGUGGGGGAAAAGUCUUGUAGAAAGUCGACCAGUCUAAAAUGAUGUCCUCACAGAUUUUCUUUUCGUGGUCAUAUAUUUUUUGGUUGUUUGGUUGUGAAAGCCUGGAAGGAUUUGUCUUGCGUCUUAAUGAUAGUGAGCUUAUAUAGUGCGACACCCCAGACAAAGAAUGACUCAUUGCGCUUAACAAUCACCCCUCGACAUAUUUAUAAAAACCCCUCAUGCCAGACUCCGUCGAAUGCUUUUUUUGUUUUUUGAAGUCGAUGAAGUUGUAAAAGAGAUCCAGCUGGUGUUGUAGACGUUUUUCUAUCAUGAUGCGACAGUUGAAGAUCACCUGUGCUCCUGCCUGCUCUGAAGCCAGCAGUUUUGUCAGCGGUGGUAUCGAGGCAAUUCUGAUUACUUGUAGAAUUUGUUUGGGUUGCUGAUUAGGUUUAUGGUUCUGUAGUUUUGGCGCUGUUUGCUGUUUCCUUUCUUUUUUUUUUUUUUUAGAAGGGGUAUGAUUAUGGCACAGAGCAAUAAAAGCCUUUUUUGCUUUUUUCCCACCCUGCUUGAGCAAUGUAGCUGGGAUUUUACCAAUGCAGGUGACUUUCAUCCCUUCAGACUGCGAACUUACCCACUUCACGAAGAUAUUUGUUUCCUGAUGAUACACAUUUUCUUUUGGGUGGAAUGGCCAUCCAAUUGAUAUAAAUGAUUUGUUAAAGGGAAAUACACCCUUUGUCGAGAAUUGUAAUAUAUGGCUAGGAUGUAUUGCACGCAAGAUCGACUUUCUCAAAAUAGCGGUAAUUAUACAUGUGACAAAAGCACAAGAUGAGAUACGACUGACUGGUGCAGUUAACCGCAAUAUAUACCAAAUGGCAUUCUCAGAAAGCUAGUUUACCUGCCAUGAUGGCCUUGACAAUAGAUGUAUAAGCACUAUCGCCUCUAAGCAGCAUCAUAAUCUGCGCAGUAAGCUGCUGGAAUAAUGUACCCCGAUUUUCUACAUAUGGGACGUGGUGCGCAGUUAUCAGCUCCCGAACACAAAUCAUUUCUGACAUCUGCCCAACACAAUGAGUAGUUAUACAUCUAACCGCAGUCACAAAAGCUUUGACUUAAAUUCACGUACAGACUGUAGAUGUGUCGUUACUGCUAACUGUAACAUGGAACAUGCAAGUCUUUCCCACUUCCCCCUCUAUUGGAUGGGUACUGCCCUUACGGAUGCCUUGUCACGGAGACUGUGGGCAAUGCAAGUGUAUAGAUCGUUUUCUUGCAUACAAUUUCCCUUCCCUUUCGCUCUCUCAUUGAUGUGGGCACUUAGUGUAAGAAAACGAGGAACCAUGCUCAGGCAACAUAACCACACUGUGCAGAUCAACAAUUUUGUUCUCUUUCACACCUCACCACCCCCUACCCCCUGUCCUAACAUAAUAACAUAACUGUUUGCUGCGUAACGUGUGCUGACUUGUACCAAAAAUCGAACCAAACGUGUUUACGGCCGUUGAGCGGCGGAGAAACGAGAUACAAGAGUGGGGCCCUGAGGGGCAGUAACCCAUCGAUCUGAGGAAACAAUCGCACCUUCACAUUAGAGCGCGUCACCGACAGUUGGCUGCCCAUGGCAACAACCAGCUGAUGAAGCCAAUUACUCUUGAAGAAUCAAAACCCAGGAGCCCUGCAUUUCAUGUGGAAUACCGAAAAGAACAGAAGCAGCAAAGAGAAAAAGAACUACAGACUCUGGCACUGAGUGCUUUCGGCUCUCCUGGAACACUUCGACGCUCCUUGUUGCCUCCUGUCUAAAGUGGCUUCUUAACAAGUGCAACUCGCAUUUUGCAGUAAACUUUCAAGUCUACUUGCUGGUCUGAAUGAUACUCAAAUCAAGUCAUGGAAAGGACAGUAAGGUUUCUUCAAGAAUUGCAGUCAAAGAAAAUUGUCUGUUAAACAAGUGAUUUUCACAGAUGCAAGGAUAAAUGCAUUUAAUCUAUGAUUGCUGUUUUCUUUGCGCUUUUUUUGGGUCGAAAAUCUAAAAUUGUAGACAAAUAUUCUGCUAAAGCUGUUUAGCAAAAUAAUCAAGGUAAUGUUGGAAGUUCUUAGAGAUCUUAGCAACAACACAAUAAACAGUAAUAGGCAUUUUGGAUAAGGCAAGAUCAAAACUAGAUUACACAGACUGGUCAUUAGAUGGGUGUGUAAAGAAUGCUGCAUGUGCAAAAUAGUCAUUAUGUGAUCAUGUUUCAAAACUAGAAUGCUCAAAAGCAAGUUGUUGACAAGUACCUAAACAUUAAGAUUUGUAUUAAAGAAACACGAGUCAUCAUACUUUCUUCAGAAAUAUUGUACUUGGUUAUCAUGAAAUAAAUUUUCCUGAUAUGUUGAUAACUGCAUCUAUGCGAACACACACACUUAUAGAUCAUAAAAAUAUAUGUGAAUAAGCCUCAAAUCAUAUUAUAGAAAUAUAUAGCUCGCAUCACAUUCAGAUGUGGUGACAGAACACCCCUGACAUCACUAAAUGAAAUGUAAUGACAUAUGGGCCAUUGCUGUAGUCUUGUAACUGGCUCACUUAGUAGUGGUAAAGCAGAUGUAGAGGGUUCUGCUACAGCAGAAAUAGAAUGUAAAUCAGUCGUCUUUAACAAAUGAAAUCAAGCGAGGAAUGCAUCGUUUAUUGGGUUUUUCUCUUUUGGGUUUAUUGGGUUUUUGAUAUAAAAUAAAAAUGUUUUACAUAUAUUUGUAUUUUCUGUGGACAUUUCAUAUGAAGUAAAGUGUUGAUGCAAAUGUGCUUUUUGUUAACAUUUCUUCAAUAAUUCCAAUAAAAAUUAGGCAUUAGGUCCAAAAAAUCUACUUUAUACAAUGUCAACGUGAAAUGCUGUUACCAUCUCAACUCCAUAUAGACAUGAUGGGACAGACCAUAUCCCAAAGCUAAAUAUUUCUUUCAAAAAUACAGUAAAUAGACAUGUUACAUACUUUUAAAUAUUAAUGUGAGUGAGAAAACAGUAAUUUACAACAGGCUUUGCAGAUAUGACAUAUGAAACAUAUUUUAUUUGAUUGAGGGACAUAUUUGUAGCACUUUCUUCAUGCACAGUAAAGCACCAUUACACACAAUCCAAAACAUUCAUCUUGAAAAAAAAAAUUCAAAAUUAACAGAAUACAAGUUAUUAAAGAUAAUUUUGUUUUUACAAUGAAUGAAACCAUAGUAAUUUUGAAAUUUUGCCUUAAUAUACAUCUUUAUGCUGGCAUACUUUAGAGAUAGUGGUCAUAUUUCAGUAACUUUGUAGUGUCACACUUCCUUUAAAGAACCAGAUUUCAUCACCCAGUUAUUCCUUUAUUUGGGUGAAAAUGGAGGAAUGUGAUAAAUGGAUGGUGAAAUGUAAGCUAAAUACCAAAUAUGGCCAAAAAAAUUCCUACGCACAAAUGCCAAAAAAAAAAAAAAAACUAUGAUAAAACUAUGUACAUUUCAACAAAAAC
rnacentral:misc_RNA from 1 species